GGAGGCGGCGACGCCCCCCCCCGACUUGAGACCGGCGACCAUGCCGGUCUGCCGCCUCCGCACCCCUUUUCUCGAUGAUGCGCACUCAAGAGGCGGGCCCUAGAGCCCGCCU
rnacentral:sRNA from 1 species